AGGACGAACGCUGGCGGCGCGCCUAACACAUGCAAGUCGAACGUGAUCCAGGCUUCGGCCUGGUGAAAGUGGCAGACGGGUGAGUAACGCGUGGGAACCUGCCCUGUGGUAGGGAAUAACCGUGGGAAACUGCGGCUAAUACCCUAUGAGUCCUUCGGGAGAAAGAUUUAUCGCCAUAGGAGGGGCCCGCGUCGGAUUAGGUAGUUGGUGGGGUAACGGCCUACCAAGCCUUCGAUCCGUAGCUGGUCUGAGAGGAUGAUCAGCCACACUGGGACUGAGAUACGGCCCAGACUCCUACGGGAGGCAGCAGUGGGGAAUAUUGGACAAUGGGGGCAACCCUGAUCCAGCAAUGCCGCGUGGAUGAUGAAGGCCUUCGGGUUGUAAAGUCCUUUCGGCGGGGAAGAUGAUGACGGUACCCGCAGAGAAGCCCGGCUAACUUCGCGCCAGCAGCCGC
rnacentral:rRNA from 1 species